GACGAACCGUGCGAACGUUGUUCGGAAUCACUGGGCUUAAAGGGUGCGUAGGCGGGCUGCCAAGUUCGGGGUGAAAUCCUCCGGCUCAACCGGAGAACUGCCUCGAAUACUGGCGGUCUCGAGGGGGUUAGGGGCAUGCGGAACUAUGGGUGGAGCGGUGAAAUGCGUUGAUAUCCAUAGGAACUCCGGUGGCGAAAGCGGCGUGCUGGACCCCUUCUGACGCUGAGGCACGAAAGCCAGGGGAGCAAACGGG
rnacentral:rRNA from 1 species